UAAAGAUUUAAUCUGCAGUAGGUAUGACAAUACACAGACUAUCUAGUUGCAUUGCACAGAGCAACAUUAUACAAUCAUUACAGAUAGUCUACAUCAGUUAGUAAAUGUUGUGUAGAUCAAGUUGCCAUAUUUGGCCACAUUUAAAACCACUUUUAGAUUUAAAACAUGGGAAUGAGUAGACAAGUGCCUUGAGGACACAGCAGAUAAACUGAUGCUACGUCUGCUCUCAGACAGAGUCAGGGCUGCCAUUAUGGGAAAUUGACUUCCCUAGUAGUCUGACACAUGUGGCAGGGACUUUCAAGUGUCACAAGAUACUAGUAACCCAUUUCUGAUUAGCAGAAACAAUCUAAAAUAAAACCAGACAAAAAGUUUCAAUAAAAGCCUAGAACAGGUUUUGAAUCAACUAGAACUUAAACUGCACAGAUCUAUCCAACUCAACUCUUCGCAGCUAGAGUAAGUUUGCAUGCAACACUAGGGCAAGUUAAGCCAGGAAGAAGUGAUUUGGCAAGAGCUGUACCAGGCCAAAUGGUUGUAUUGUUUUCUUUUAAGACCCAUUUGGAUAUUGUAACCAAGGCCGACCAGCUUUGAGAGGCAGGAUAGAGAAGUACAGCCCCUCAGCCAUUGACUCUUAAAACAAGAGUCUGAAGCUAGCGUGACCCUGCAUAGACAGAGUCCAGGUAGAUUGUAUGUUAAAAUGCAUAUAAAAUUGCACCAAG